UAUAUAAGCAUUUGCUUUAAUUUUGGUUUUCUCUAUUACAUUGUUAUAGAUGCAAUCAUAUAUCAAAAUAAUGUAUACUUACGUACGUGUACGCGGUUAUUUCCCCCGCCGGUACACAGACAAACGCCUACACAUGAAGUGCCAAGCGUUGCACACAAUGCUGCCGUGUCUUUGCACGCCGGCAUUUGUUCACACAUGUGCGUGAGAAGCCUCCGCGGGGUUUUCUCUGCAGGCUCUUUACUGCAACACACGGCGCGAUGAUGGCUGGCAUAUGUGGCCUGGAGUUCCCCCCCCCCCCGCUUGCACCACGACACAAGAAUUUACGCUUCGGUGGGCCCCCGAGCUCCGCCACCGACAGCUGCGCUUUUAUCAAGAGCGCAGAGAUUCUAUUACUGGCCCUGACUCCCCUGGGAAAACGUCGUCGGCUGGGCCGCACAGGAAAUUGCAUCUCGCGGCGGCGAAGGCCCGGCAACCGGGUUGUUGGACUCUUGAGGGGGAGAACGCGCACGCGUUUUUGUGACGGAGCGGUCCGGCUAACUUUACCGCUUUAACACAACAAGUCGCCUGACAGCUCCAGCGUUUGUACCACUGCUGCUUUGGCGACUGGAUCACAGCGAAAAAAGCCUGCAACAACAUUUUCAUGGAAAUUUGGUCCUUAGACUCUCUCCUCAUGCUGAAUUUAUUGCUGUGAAAAUAUUUUCUUCAGCUGGCAUUUCCCUGUUACAACCUACAUGCUCGCUGCAGUGGCGAGGGAAUACUAACCCUUAUUUUUAAAUAUUAGGAAACUAAUUUCACUUCGCCUUCUACACAUGUUUGUACGGGGGGGCGGAGGGGGGGGGGUUGGAAAGCCAGAGCCACCAGUUGAUGGGGAAUAAUUCCAGUUUCACCCUCAGAAAUGUAGUCAUUAGCCAAACACUUUGCUGCUGCUGUCAGGAGAAACAGUGAAGCCGGUUGUGCGUGCGUCAAAGUUGCGUGGUGUGAGGGGGGGGGGGGGGCGUGAUUGGUCAGUCCGUCAGCCGACAAUACACCAAAAGCCCACUCGGGGGGAAUGAAAUAUUUAAAAACACCUGGGAAUAAAGUUUCCAGCUGCCUCUGUGGGAUCUGUGUCUUCC
ensembl:lncRNA